GGGGAAUUAGCUCAGUGGUAGAGCGCUUGCUUAGCACUAACGAUUGCAUGAGGCCGUGGGUUCAAUUCCCACAUUCUCCA
rnacentral:tRNA from 1 species